AGAACGAACGCUGGCGGCAGGCCUCAAACAUGCAAGUCUAGGGGGUGUAGCAAUACAUCACCGGCGGACGGGUGCGUAACGCGUGGGAAUGUACCUAUUGGUUCGGAACAACACAGGGAAACUUGUGCUAAUACCGGAUGAGCCCGAAAGGGGAAAGAUUUCUCGCCAAUAGAUCAGCCCGCGUCCGAUUAGCUAGUUGGUGGGGUUAAAGCCUACCAAGGCGACGAUCGGUAGCUGUUCUGAGAGGAAGAUCAGCCACACUGGGACUGAGACACGGCCCAGACUCCUACGGGAGGCAGCAGUUGGGAAUCUUGGACAAUGGGGGAAACCCUGAUCCAGCCAUGCCGCGUGAGUGAUGAAGGCCUUCGGGUUGUAAAACUCUUUCGACGGGGACAUAAUGACGGUACCCGUAGAAGAAGCUCCGGCUAACUUCGUGCCAGCAGCCGC
rnacentral:rRNA from 1 species